rnacentral:rRNA from 1 species
UACGUAGGGGGCAAGCGUUGUCCGGAUUUAUUGGGCGUAAAGAGCGUGUAGGCGGCCAGACAGGUCCGUUGUGAAAACUCGAGGCUCAACCUCGAGAUGUCGAUGGAAACCAUCUGGCUAGAGUCCGGAAGAGGAGAGUGGAAUUCCUGGUGUAGCGGUGAAAUGCGCAGAUAUCAGGAAGAACACCCGUGGCGAAGGCGGCUCUCUGGGACGGUACUGACGCUGAGACGCGAAAGCGUGGGGAGCGAACAGG